rnacentral:lncRNA from 1 species
CAACGCCCGCAGCAGCGCGGCGUUCAGGUGCGGCGUCGGCGGGCAGGGCGAUUCUAGCGGAGAGGAUGGCCGGCCGGAAGAAAGGCGGGAAGACAUGCAUCGUCUCUCCGGGGGCCAUCCACCGCGGCUGAGCCUGUUAUCCUACAGACAUUAUAGGCUGAGUGCAGGGGUUGCCGAAGAGUUUACUUCGGUUCUGAUUCAGCUCUCGAAAGUUACGUCCGUAUCACCCGUUAAAUAAAG